GGGGGGGGGCUUACCAUGCAAGUCGAGCGGAGAGAGGUAGCUUGCUACUGAUCUUAGCGGCGGACGGGUGAGUAAUGCUUAGGAAUCUGCCUAUUAGUGGGGGACAACAUUUCGAAAGGAAUGCUAAUACCGCAUACGUCCUACGGGAGAAAGCAGGGGAUCUUCGGACCUUGCGCUAAUAGAUGAGCCUAAGUCGGAUUAGCUAGUUGGUGGGGUAAAGGCCUACCAAGGCGACGAUCUGUAGCGGGUCUGAGAGGAUGAUCCGCCACACUGGGACUGAGACACGGCCCAGACUCCUACGGGAGGCAGCAGUGGGGAAUAUUGGACAAUGGGCGCAAGCCUGAUCCAGCCAUGCCGCGUGUGUGAAGAAGGCCUUAUGGUUGUAAAGCACUUUAAGCGAGGAGGAGGCUACUUUAGUUAAUACCUAGAGAUAGUGGACGUUACUCGCAGAAUAAGCACCGGCUAACUCUGUGCCAGCAGCCGCGGUAAUACAGAGGGUGCAAGCGUUAAUCGGAUUUACUGGGCGUAAAGCGCGCGUAGGCGGCUAAUUAAGUCAAAUGUGAAAUCCCCGAGCUUAACUUGGGAAUUGCAUUCGAUACUGGUUAGCUAGAGUGUGGGAGAGGAUGGUAGAAUUCCAGGUGUAGCGGUGAAAUGCGUAGAGAUCUGGAGGAAUACCGAUGGCGAAGGCAGCCAUCUGGCCUAACACUGACGCUGAGGUGCGAAAGCAUGGGGAGCAAACAGGAUUAGAUACCCUGGUAGUCCAUGCCGUAAACGAUGUCUACUAGCCGUUGGGGCCUUUGAGGCUUUAGUGGCGCAGCUAACGCGAUAAGUAGACCGCCUGGGGAGUACGGUCGCAAGACUAAAACUCAAAUGAAUUGACGGGGGCCCGCACAAGCGGUGGAGCAUGUGGUUUAAUUCGAUGCAACGCGAAGAACCUUACCUGGCCUUGACAUAGUAAAACUUUCCAAAGAUGGAUUGGUGCUUCGGAACUUACUACAGGU
rnacentral:rRNA from 1 species